rnacentral:rRNA from 1 species
AUGGCGGCCAUGGAUCACGCGCCGCCGGGCUUCCGCUUCACGCCGACGCCGGAGGAGCUCAUCAACUUCUACCUCGACCCCUGGGUGGCCGACCCGGGAAAGACGCCGGUCGGCGAGCGCCAGGGCAUCGUCUGCGUCGCCGACGUCUACGGCGAGGACCCGGCCGCCCUCACCUCGCGGCACCGGCGCUUCGGCCACGACGACGGCAACUGGUACUUCCUCUGCAUGGCGCGGUGGAAGGGCGCCGUGGGCGGCCGUGCCAGCCGCGCCGUCCGAGGCGGCGGCACGUGGCACGGGUACGGCAAGCGGGUCACCGUCGCCGGGGCCGGGCACCGGGUGCACCAGACGACGAGGACGGCGGCGGAUGAUGACGAGGUGGAGCGCGGGGAGAGCAGCAAGGUCGCCCGGUCUUCUAAGAGGCGGCGCCGCCGGGAGCACGACAUGGCCGCAGAUGCAAAGGAUGAGCUCAAGUCAUUGGAGAUGUUUGCGAUGGAGGAGAAGCCAGAGCCACUGGAGCACAUCUUCACCAAGGACGAGCCAGAGUCAUGGGAGAUGCUUGCCAUGGAGGAUGGGGCUGAGCCAUGGGAGAUGAUUACCAUGGAGGACGAACUGGAGCCAUGGGAGAUGGUUACCAUGGACAAGCCACCAGAGAUGCUCACCAACAACUUGCCAUGGCCACUAGAGAUGCUCACCAACAACUUGACAUUGCCAUUAGAGAUGCUUACCAAGAACUUCCCACUGCUUCCACUGGAGAUGCUUACUAACAACUUGGCAUUGCAAUUGGAGACCCUUAACAAGAACUUGCCAGAGCCAGCGGAGACCGUUACCAAGAACUUGCCAUCUCCAUUGGAGAUCCUUACCAAGAACUUGCCAGACUUGGACAUCCUUACCAAAGAGGAACCCACCACGACGACGACAGCCUUCGAUCAAGAUUCUGGCGCGGCGAACAAGGAAGCCAUCCCUAACGCGGAGAUGGAGAUGCCGGCCGAUGCAGAGUGGCACUCGCACUACCCGGAACUGUUCGAGCAAAAAGAGCCUCCGCCCAUGGAAGACGUCAUGAAGCCUCUGCCAGCGCCGACGGUCCAAGAAUUUGAGCAAGGAGCCCCUCCGGCGGCGGCUGUCGAAGAAUUCGGCGGGGUUGCUUGGGGUUGGGGAGGCCAUGGCCGGCGCUGCUUAGUGAGGCCUAUAUCGUUAGCUUGGAUACUACCUGGUUUUUGA